rnacentral:rRNA from 1 species
GGCGAACGGGUGAGUAAUGCAUCGGAACGUGCCCAGUCGUGGGGGAUAACGCAGCGAAAGUUGUGCUAAUACCGCAUACGAUCUAUGGAUGAAAGCGGGGGACCUUCGGGCCUCGCGCGAUUGGAGCGGCUGAUGUUAGAUUAGGUAGUUGGUGGGGUAAAGGCUCACCAAGCCAACGAUCUAUAGCUGGUCUGAGAGGACGACCAGCCACACUGGAACUGAGACACGGUCCAGACUCCUACGGGAGGCAGCAGUGGGGAAUUUUGGACAAUGGGCGAAAGCCUGAUCCAGCAAUACCGCGUGCAGGAAGAAGGCCCUCGGGUUGUAAACUGCUUUUGUACGGAACGAAACGGCGCGCUCUAAUAAAGUGCGCUAAUGACGGUACCGUAAGAAUAAGCACCGGCUAACUACGUGCCAGCAGCCGCGGCAAUACGUAGGGUGCAAGCGUUAAUCGGAAUUACUGGGCGUAAAGCGUGC